AUAACUUAUGUUGUGUGUUUAAACGUAUAGUGUUUGUAUUUUUUACACAAAUGUAUGGCAGUUAUAAAUUUAAAGUAAAAAUGAUAAAAAGCCGAUUUCCAGCUGUUGCAUAGGGCUGACAACAGCUGUUUAGAACAGCCAAGAAGAGGUUCAUUCAAAUAUAAUGUGUAUUUUGACUUCCUUUAGAGUUAGACAGGCAAAGAAACCUAUGGAGAGACUUUGAGAUUACAGUAAAGCAGGUUCAUGGUUCAGCUUUGUUUGUGUUGUGCUCUGAAAUGAUGUGGCAUGUGCACUUUGAAACUAUGACAGAACACAACUCCGUCAACAGCGCGCGCGUGUAUAUGGAAAACAUCUCAAAUAGACACCUGUGAGUUUGCUUUAAGUUUCUCCGGCGCUGUGUUUCAUGAUGGAGUCCAGAGGGCAAGGCUGGCAAACGCCAGGCUAUCAGUACCAGUCUAGUAACAGAGAUGACCACUACAGAUCCUCCCAUCAAACACCGUAUUACUACCCACCUACAGACCCGAGAGGGAGAGAAAGACCGUGGCCUCAUGUGGAUCCUCGCUAUGGAGGCUACAUGGCCAGUCCUCCUCCUAAACCAGAGUAUAUUCCUGGAUAUAGUAGCGCUUAUGCAUCAAACCAACCAUCACACCUCAGACCUCACUCCAGGCAGGAAUAUGACUACCCCGCGUCCAACUACUGGCCCUACAGAGAAGACUACGGGUAUUAUGACUAUCAUGGUUAUCACAGAUCACAAUACAACUCCCCAGAUGGUGGUGGCUGGAGAACAGAGGGGUAUCAGGGCAGAGGACUGCAGCCGGAGUCAGCAAGAGCUUCGUACUUAGAUCAGCAGGGCUAUAGCCAUAGGACCGACAGUCAUUAUAACCAUGGUGUCUCAGAGAGACAGCACAGAGAAAGCAUGGAAAAUGAAAAUGGAGAUGGAAGUGGAGAGGUGUAUGAUAGUGGAGCUCUUGCCAACUCUAAAGCUUCAGGUCUGUCCUCGAGCAGCUAUGAGCUCAGUCAGUACAUCAAUGGAGCUGAACUGAGUGAGCCUGAGCUCAUAUUUCACACAGAUGCUGUACCCAAGGAGGUGGCUCCACUGAAGUUCUGCAUCCCUCAUGUGGCAGUGAGCUUUGGGCCUUCGGGUCAGCUGGUAUGGGUCAGUCCAGCCCUUGCCUCUGAGGGGGAGCCUGCUCAAGUGGAACUCCACAGUCUGGAGGUAAUUCUCUGUGACACACAUGAACAGCAGGAUAUGAGAGAUUUUCCUGGACCACUGGCUAGGGAAGAUUUGCAUAAGGUGGAUGCCAUUAAUUUUGCCCUCCAAAUGUCGGAGAAAUGUUUGAAGGAUAACAAAUCAGAAGAUGCCACUUCUGCUGCCCUCUUGUGGCAUCUACUAAUCUUGCUGUGCAGACAGAAUGGAAGAAUCAUGGGUUCAGAUGUUGCAGAACUGCUGAUGAGGGACUCCAGUUCUCUGGGUGCGUGUGGGGUCUCUGGUGAUGGAGAUGGAGAAACUCUCAUUGAUCUGAGUGAAACACCCACAUCAGAAAAAGAGACCCUCAACUUUGCCGACCUCCUGACUGGAUAUCCAUCAACUAACAAAGAGGCUGAAGAGCAAAACCUUCACAGAUACACAAAACUAUUGCUGUCUGGCAGAAAGAAGGAGGCGCUAGAGUCAGCCAUGCAGAGUGGUCUUUGGGGUCAUGCUUUAUUUCUGGCUAGCAAAAUGGACAGCAGAUCCUACAACACAGUGCUGAGCAGGUUUACAGGGAGUCUGGCUCCUAGUGACCCUCUGCAAACCCUCUUCCAGCUGCUCUCUGGGAGGAUUCCAGCUGUUUCCAUGUCCUGGAGUAGUGAGAAGUGGGGAGACUGGCGACCACACUUGGCUGUUUUGCUUUCCAAUGAGACAGGAGACCCCUUGAUACAUCACAGGUCCAUCAUCUCCAUGGGUGAUACCCUAGCCUCAAGGGAUAUGCUGUAUGCCUCCCAGAUCUGCUACCUCACGGCUCAGUGUCCCUUCGGCUGGUACACAAACAGAUCAGAACGCCUCGUGCUUCUGGGCAGCAAGCAAAGUGUUCUGUUUUCCAAGUUCUGUCACAACUCUGCCAUCCGCUGUACUGAACUCUUUGAGUACUGCCAGAGGCUUGGAAAUGCUGAAUUUAUCGUUCCUGCUUUUCAGGUGUAUAAAUUCUUAUAUGCAUGCCGGUUGCUGGACUGUGGUCUGGUUUCUCAGGCUUUCCACUACUGUGAGUUGGUGGCAAAAGCUCUGCUCAAGAUAGAGGAACCCCAUGUGGUGUUGCAGGGAGAGCUUAUUAAAUUGGUGGACAGGCUGAAGUACUCCGAGUCACAGCUCAGUGACAUAGGUCAGCCUUUCCUGGAUCCCGACUGGCUGGUGCAGAUUCGCUGCAGACACCAGGCCAUACUGGAGGGGAGCUACUGUAGUGAAACCCAUCAGUCACCAGUUGGGGAGACAACUUGGACUCAUGAGGAGAGCAACACGUGUCCAGAUUUUACAGAAGGCUUCCAGACAGAUGUCAUUAACCACACUAGCACUGAAAACGAAACCUCGAACCCACCUCAAUCUAUGACACCUAACACUGAUGCUGGGUUUCAGGAGUCUUACUCUACAGUGAGCCACUCUUACUCUUCUGAAGAACAGACUCCUAAGACCGUGGCUCCAGUGCCACUGUACCCGACCCAGCUGCACCCAGUCUUCCCUGUGGAAAUGUCUGGGCCUCCACAAGUUUCAGUGGACCAAGGCUACUCUAAUCUUGAUAGCAGCAGUAAAAAUGACAACUUUUACACUGCUGCUUCUACUUUCCCUGAAAGAAGCUACAAUAAUACAGAUGGUGACUUUUCUUCUGCUGCAAUAAUGGGUGCUGCUGAAAACGACGCUAUGACUGAUAGCGUUAAUCAGUCUGGGACAAUUCCAUACGAGGACAACCAGAGAGAAUCUAGCACACAAUCAGCAAAGCCCUCUAAGCCUGGAUGGUUCAGUGGCUGGUUCAAGUCUAAGCCUAAAGAAGACCCAAAAGAAAAAAUCCCAGAACCCACCACUACGGAAUCAACAGCCAGCUUUCCUUUCCCUUCUCCUCCACCACCCUUCCCAAAGGCAUCACAGCCCCAACUCAGUGGGAUCAAUCCUUUUUCUAGGAGAGCUGGACAAAAAUUGCCUGGGGCAAUGAGUCAGAAUCAAGGGUCCAUUUCACAGGGUCCCUAAUGAAGGUUCGUGAUUGAGGAAUAAUCUCCAAAUGAGGAACUCAGGGAUGGACUUUCAGCUUCGUGACUAGUGUUCACAUGACCAAGGGAUUCCUUUGGCACACCCCUUCAGUUCCACUAGAGGAGGUCAGAGGGGCCUAUGUAUCUUUAUAUACAGUAACAUCUGUGGUUACAGAAAUACACUGAGGACAUAGAGUUCUUGAAAUAAUCUGUUAAGGGUUUGGUGCCCAGUCUUCUUUGAAUGAAGACACUGAACAGCUGAGGCACAGCUCCCCGUGCUGACUCUAGGGAUUUGUAUCAUUCCCUUUGGGAACGCGGACAUGAUGGAAAUGGUGCUGUGACCUAUGGAAACAUGAACUUAAGACGUCUCCACAGCUGGCAGUGUCAGUAAAUUGUAUAACAUGUAACACUUCCAUCCCUCAUCCCACCUUUCCACACACAAAAUGAUUUAAAUAAUUUAAGUGGCUUUUCAUAAUUCAAAUGUUUAAGAUAUGGGGCUGGACAGUGGUGAAAAUGAAGGAAAAUGUUGUACAGUUGACCCCUUUGGAUCACAGCCUUGAUUUAUUCCAGAGGAAGAGAUAUUGAUGUUUUAUUCAAUAUCUUCACCAAAAUAUGUAUUCUUUUAUUGUAAAAACUUAUAAUAAAAAUCAGUUGUAUUUGUAUAUGCCAAUGUAUCCGAGUAAAAUUAGUCAACUAAAAAUAUGUCAUGAGCCAACAUCUCUUAUUCCAUAGGCAUAGCAGGACAGUGGAAUUUGAUGUAUGCCAUCUUUUUUUACCAUGAGUGUGCAGAUCUGGCAUGUUCGCAGAAGUGUGGAACUCUGGGAAUUGUGUCCUAUACAUACAGAGGGAAAAACAGGACUGAGUCACUACUCCAACACGCUCUCAUGUUUUAUUGUAGUCUAGGUGACUUUAUUUUAAAUUGAGAAUUGUUUAUGAUGGUAAUGACAUAUUUACAAUUAUACAACAUGUGAUUUAAUGUAAGUCCAAAAGAAAAGGUAACAGUUCAUAAUUAAUUUCAUUCAUCAUAUAACGUCUGACCAACCCCAUCCCCGCAACCUCAAAAUAAAAUUACAAAUUUUCCCCUACUGCAUGCAUUUAAUAACAAAAUAUAGCAGUCUGCAUACAUAUCUUGUAACUUGAAAUAGCACUGUGCAUCUGAAAACUCGAAGAGAAUUCAGAAUAUUCUUUAUUACUGUCUCUGAUUCCAUCAGCUGCCAAUAACAUUUUACAUACGGGUCACCAGUGUGUUUACAGUGUGUUCUUUUAUUAGGAAUAUACACAGUGAUUCAUUUGAAAUCAAAGUCUUUCAUCAGUGGUCCCCACAAUUCCCUGCAGAUUUAGCAAAAAUAAAAACCUGUUGGAGAAGGAUCAACUCAACUUCUGACACCUCAACAUCGAAAGGGAACCUGCAUAGAUAGAAUGACUGUGAGGAAGACAUUUGGUCUGGUUCUGAGUUUGGAAAGAACACGGUUGUUGAGGUGAACUGCAGUUCAAAGUGUGAGAGUUCCCAGUGAAAGCUGCCAGUGUUUCUGUUUAGUGUGUAUACACACACAUAUUUGCAGGUGUAUACACAAUGAUCAAUCACAACAUUAAAACCACCUGCCUAAUAUCAUGGAGAUCCCCCUCGUGCUGCCAAAACAGCUCAGAUGAACUGAAGGAUGUACUCCACAAGACCUCUAAACUUGUCAUCUGGUAUCUGGCACCAAGAUUUUAACAGCAGAUCUUGCAAAUUGCAUAGUCUUCAUGGAUUGGAUUUGUUGGUCAAGUACAUCCUGUAGAUGCUCAAUCGGAUUGACAUCUGAGGAAUUUGGAGGAUGGAGGAUGUUCUUCAUACUGUUUCUGAACAAUUAUUACUGUGUGCCAGGAUGGAGUAUCCUGCUGGAAAAGGCCACUUGCAAACAGGGAACACUGCUUGCCAUGUAGGUCUGUAACUCUUGGUAGGUAGAAUGUGUUAAUAUAACAUCCACUUAAAUAGCAGGACCGAAUGUUUCACAGUAUAAAAUCUGCUGCUAUAACUACAUCUACCAAAAUCCUUUCUUCCCUUAGUGCAUCCCUGGCCAUUUCAU